UCUUUAUUAAAAAAUAUAAAUCAUGGUAUAUGCUGAAAAAUCUAAUUUUUUUUUAUUAUACGGAUAAGAUGAUAAUUUAUUUGUUUCACAUAACAUAAAAGGGAGAUUUGCACAAUAACAUUAUACAAAUACCCUCUCUUGGUGUCCAUUUUCAAAAAUACCCUAUUCAAUGUACAAAAUGAAUAAAUUACACUCUUUUAUUAUAACCCAUGAUGAAAAAAGAAUAUUAUUUCCAACAAAAAGAAUAUUCCUUCCAAAAAAUUUUCCGCCAAACAAAUUCCGGCAAUAAUGUUUCCAGAAUUCUUUAAAAACCUUGUACAUAUUUUUAAAACCCUUAAAAAUCCUUUAAAACCCCUUAUAAAUCUUUUAAAAGUCAUACAAAACCUUUAAAAACUUUAGAAAACCUUUNNN
rnacentral:lncRNA from 1 species